rnacentral:rRNA from 1 species
UACGUAGGGUGCAAGCGUUGUCCGGAAUUAUUGGGCGUAAAGAGCUCGUAGGCGGUCUGUUGCGUCGGCUGUGAAAACCCGGGGCUCAACUCCGGGCCUGCAGCCGAUACGGGCAUCACUAGAGUUCGGCAGGGGAGACUGGAAUUCCUGGUGUAGCGGUGAAAUGCGCAGAUAUCAGGAGGAACACCGGUGGCGAAGGCGGGUCUCUGGGCCGAUACUGACGCUGAGGAGCGAAAGCAUGGGUAGCGAACAGG